rnacentral:rRNA from 1 species
GUGGGGAAUAUUGGACAAUGGGGGGAACCCUGAUCCAGCCAUGCCGCGUGUGUGAAGAAGGCCUUUUGGUUGUAAAGCACUUUAAGCGAGGAGGAGGCUUACCUGGUUAAUACCUAGGAUAAGUGGACGUUACUCGCAGAAUAAGCACCGGCUAACUCUGUGCCAGCAGCCGCGGUAAUACAGAGGGUGCGAGCGUUAAUCGGAUUUACUGGGCGUAAAGCGCGCGUAGGUGGUUAAUUAAGUCAAAUGUGAAAUCCCCGAGCUUAACUUGGGAAUUGCAUUCGAUACUGGUUAGCUAGAGUAUGGGAGAGGAUGGUAGAAUUCCAGGUGUAGCGGUGAAAUGCGUAGAGAUCUGGAGGAAUACCGAUGGCGAAGGCAGCCAUCUGGCCUAAUACUGACACUGAGGUGCGAAAGCAUGGGGAGCAAACAGGAUUAGAAACCCCUGUAGUCC